rnacentral:rRNA from 1 species
AGCGAACGCUGGCGGCAGGCCUAACACAUGCAAGUCGAACGGAUCCUUCGGGAUUAGUGGCGGACGGGUGAGUAACACGUGGGAACGUGCCCUUUGGUUCGGAACAACUCAGGGAAACUUGAGCUAAUACCGGAUGUGCCCUUCGGGGGAAAGAUUUAUCGCCAUUGGAGCGGCCCGCGUCUGAUCAGCUAGUUGGUGAGGUAAAGGCUCACCAAGGCGACGAUCAGUAGCUGGUCUGAGAGGAUGAUCAGCCACAUUGGGACUGAGACACGGCCCAAACUCCUACGGGAGGCAGCAGUGGGGAAGCUUGCGCAAUGGGCGAAAGCCUGACGCAGCCAUGCCGCGUGAAUGAUGAAGGUCUUAGGAUUGUAAAAUUCUUUCACCGGGGAAGAUAAUGACGGUACCCGGAGAAGAAGCCCCGGCUAACUUCGUGCCAGCCGCCGCGGUAACAC